UGGGGAAUUUUGGACAAUGGGCGCAAGCCUGAUCCAGCAAUGCCGCGUGAGUGAAGAGGGCCUUCGGGUUGUAAAGCUCUUUUGUCAGGGAAGAAACGGCCUCAGCUAAUAUCUGGGGCUAAUGACGGUACCUGAAGAAUAAGCACCGGCUAACUACGUGCCAGCAGCCGCGGUAAUACGUAGGGUGCAAGCGUUAAUCGGAAUUACUGGGCGUAAAGCGUGCGCAGGCGGUUUUGUAAGUCUGUCGUGAAAGCCCCGGGCUCAACCUGGGAAUUGCGAUGGAGACUGCAAGGCUUGAAUCUGGCAGAGGGGGGUAGAAUUCCACGUGUAGCAGUGAAAUGCGUAGAGAUGUGGAGGAACACCGAUGGCGAAGGCAGCCCCCUGGGUCAAGAUUGACGCUCAUGCACGAAAGCGUGGGGAGCAAACAGGAUUAGAUACCCAAGUAGUCCCUGAGCGGGCUGGCAAGGCGCAU
rnacentral:rRNA from 1 species